rnacentral:rRNA from 1 species
GAUGAACGCUAGCGGCAGGCUUAACACAUGCAAGUCGAGGGGCAGCGCGAUGUAGCAAUACAUUGGCGGCGACCGGCGCACGGGUGCGUAACACGUAUGGAAUCUGCCCUGUACUGGGGAAUAGCCCGGAGAAAUCCGGAUUAAUGCCCCAUAACAGACGAAGUGGCAUCACUUUGUCUUGAAAGCUCCGGCGGUACAGGAUGACCAUGCGCACGAUUAGCUAGUUGGUGAGGUAACGGCUCACCAAGGCUACGAUCGUUAGGGGGCCUGAGAGGGUUAUCCCCCACACUGGUACUGAGACACGGACCAGACUCCUACGGGAGGCAGCAGUGAGGAAUAUUGCGCAAUGGAGGCAACUCUGACGCAGCCAUGCCGCGUGCAGGAAGAAGGCGCUACGCGUUGUAAACUGCUUUUACCCGGGAAGAAACCCCUCUACGUGUGGAGGGUUGACGGUACCGGAGGAAUAAGCACCGGCUAACUUCGUGCCAGCAGCCG